rnacentral:rRNA from 1 species
UACAGAGACUGCAAGCGUUAUUCGGAUUCACUGGGCGUAAAGGGUGCGCAGGCGGCCAAGUGUGUGAGGCGUGAAAGCCUGGAGCUUAACUCCAGAAUUGCACCUCAAACUACUUGGCUAGAGCAUUGGAGAGGGUAGCAGAAUUCAUGGUGUAGCAGUGAAAUGCGUAGAUAUCAUGAGGAAUACCAGAGGUGAAGGCGGCUACCUGGACAAUUGCUGACGCUCAGGCACGAAAGCGUGGGGAGCAAAAGGG